rnacentral:ncRNA from 2 species
CAGCGCACUCCGGGGUCGGUGAAACUCCGAACCGGCGGUUAAAGUCCGCGACCCGGUCGCUUUCCAGCGAACGGUUGACCAGGUGGAAUUCCUGGACCGACGGUCAAAGUCCGGAUGGGAGGCAGUGCGCGG